UUUUGUUUUCUAUAAUUAACAUUGCUAACUUGCAAUACUUAUCAUAAUUAUCAUGCUCCCACUAACAUGAUGAUUAUUAGCAUAACACUUAUGCUCCCACUAGCUUUGACAUGUACUCAGAAAUCAACUGACUUCCUUACCAAAGUUCAUAUUUCUGAUACUAGAUUGUUUUGAUAAAACUUUAUCAAAAUCAUACACCUUCCCUUAGAUAGCACACUUGUGUGUCUAAACAAUUAUGAAGAGGGAUGCCGUAAUCAUAAUGGUUAGACCUUUUUGCCACUUCUCACAAGUCCAGGUUAGUGUGCCGGUAAACCACACACGCUCCACUAACGACUUUGAGAAUGCAAAUAUCACAAUUGCUAUCUAGCUAAAAUCUACUUAGUGAAAGUGUUUCCUCACCAUCAUUUUCAUGAAUCGGAGAGAAACCUUAUGACACUUAGAUUUACUGGUGUAUGUGUUCUUAUCCAUGUGAAUUGUCAAGACCUUAGUCACAGGAAAAGGGUAAUGACAAAUCCAAACUCAUAUCGAUUGAACUCAAUCUUAACUUCUUGCCACCUGGCAACUCAAGGGCCUUCCAUUGCUUCCAAGUUGUUGUGCAACACAUUGAGAACUCUAAGAACUCAUAUNCUUUAACUAGAAUGGGCACAGAAUAUGUCAACACGAUAGGUUAUAAACCGCAAGUCGUGUGCUAGUGAAGAACUUCAGGUUUUAUUCUUGAUUGGUUCUUGAGACUUUCAAGACCUUUAAGAAUCCCACUGUCCUCUUGACCUAUAAGACUCCCUUGUCAAAUAUCCAAGAGAUAGUGUGGAUUCUCAUCAAGACAAACACUUCACAUAAUUGGCCUAAGUUGGUCUUUGUUUUAUCCAAAACAUCACAACUUACCAAUUUCAAAUGUACAAGAGUAGAAAACUUUUACUCUUACAUUUGACAAGUGUUUUAAACCUUCUUUAAGACAUGUCACUCAAGUUACAAUCUUGGAGUAUGACUCUAAGACUUGUAUUGGAACGAAGUAUGACUCAUCUUCUUGAUUUAACCAUUUCAACAAUUCAAGUUCCUCUUCUUAGUCAUAAGAAUGCACUAAGAUUUCCUUAGAGAACUAAUUUUGAUAUGGUUUCUUAAUCAUUAAGAUGAUCACAAAACUGAUACUAAAGUACUCUCCCAUCUUUUCAGAUUUGAGAAACUUUUAUCCUUCUGCCUAAUUUGAUUCUUCUUAUUCGCUCUGCCAUACAUUGGAACCUUUUCCAAUGUCUCAGAGUUACACUUAAGCUUGUAAGUAUAAUCAUAUUUACUGAGCUUUAGUAAACUAUGACGAAUAGUCUUAUCAAUCUUUUGUGGUGGACUUAAUCAGUGCACAAGAAUGUGUACUCGAUCCCUUAGUCCUUUACUUGACUCACACAUCCAUGUGGCCGAGUAAUUAGUCUUAAUUUUCCAAAACUUGAAAGUUCUCAUUCAUCAUGCUAUACAACUUGCAUGAUUCCAAGUUCCGGUCCAAUUGAAACUUGGGUGAUGAGAAUCUUUCCUUAUUUGGUAAAUCUAGACAUUACCACAAAUGAAAGAAUCAAUUUCAUAUUUCCACUCUUGCUAUUAAUGGAAUCAUAUAAGCAACAAUUUUUCCUCAAAUGCCAUUGUAAGGAUAUUUUAAAAUAAAUAAAAUCAAAAAUUUUCUUUUAUUUUAAAACUUUGCGGAAAAACUUAUCCUUACAAUCCAUAUGAAAACUUGUUGUUAUCUAUUCCUAAGCAAUAUCUCAUAACUCCUAAGAAGUUGCUCAAGAAUCCGAUCUUCAAACUAUGCGAUAGAAAUCCAUCUACGCCAUCAGAUUCAGCAUAUUCUUUCUUUAAGUUUCUUCACUUUUCUUUGAUUCUUAAAACAUCACCAUGUGACCCAGUCACAUCAUGUAUCAGGAAUCUCAGAAUAGAAACUUAACAGAGUUAGAUAGUGGACUUUACCUGAAGUAGAGUCAAACUUAUUGACUUUAACAUCCUUAGGUAAAUUUGGCAGCUUCGCAACCAAUGCCCCUUCCUUUGGCAAUAUAAACAUAUGGACCCUUUGAUAAUGGUACACGAGACUAUCACAGACUUAGCUUUUCUCUUUACCAUUUGGUCAACCGAGUUGACUAUGGCCGAUCCCUUUCCAUUGGGAAGAGAAUGCUUUACUGGAUAUCCAAUGUCAUCAUUGUCAAUGUCCAUAAAGUUUUAGGAAGUUGAUCUUAGCAAAUAGAUAAGAUCAUUAAGGGUCUUGUCAUAGUCUGUUUCAUAGGUGUCCCAAAGGAACUCACUAUGUGACUUAGAAAGUGAUUGAACCACCAACUUUCUCAAGACUUUGACACCCAACUCUCCCGGCUUGUCAAUAUGUGACUACAUCUCCAAGAUGUGAUCACACCUAGACCUUGCCUUGCCAAUAGGGCUUGAGUGACCUUAAACUUUUCAAGAACUUGUGGGUUAGGGAGAAUAAUUGGAGGAGGAGAAAGAAGUAUGAUAUCCAUGGGACAUCAUCUUCAUUAGGAAACCUUGUUUCAAGAGAUUUGGGAAGAUCAUAGGUGUCUAAACCAGACAUCUUUUGGGAGAUAUUCAAGAUAGUUGAUUUAAAGUCCUUAAUAUGACACCCAAUAUGAAAUAUUAAGGCUAGGACCCAACAAACUAUUUUAUAACUUAGAAGAGGUAUGCCGUAAUCCAAGCUAUAAAAUAUUUGAAGGUAGGUGAAUGACGAUUCACCAAUUUCCACCAAGAUAAACGAAAUGUAUUAUUAGGUUUUAAUUGGUUUUGAAACUCCUAGAUCUUUGAGAUUCAUUGAACUGUUCAAAGGCAUGUUUCAAUCUCGAGUGUGCCCUUCAGGUUUUGUGACUGGGAUGCCGAGGAUCACAAAACAAGGUGUGAAGUAACCAUGCAAAUCACUUGGUACCCUUAAUAAAUUACCCCUCAAUCGAUGUGCCGGUUAACCACACACGCUCCAUCGAUACUAUGAUAAAUAUUAAGUCACCCUUUACCUACCUUGUUAAGUCCAAGUUAGUGUGCCGGUUAACCACACACGCUCCACUAACGACUUAGACAAAGUGUAAAGUGUAAUUUCAUGGAUUAGCACCUUAUUCACAUUUUUCCUAAGUAACUAAGAUUGGGUAUUAUUAAGAGUUUAGUUACUUAGUAUUAUCAUUAAUACUUUUAAUGAAGGGAGAAUUCUAGUCCUGUCAAACCCGUUCGGCUAACGACCCUCCACCAGUCAAGCAAGCGGUGGGUGAGAGUGGACACCCAUUAAGUUGCCAUUUUAUAGGCAACAACCUUAUACCCACCUUAUAGACCGGCUUCGUGAAUGAGGCGUACUAGCGGUAAGACUGACUUUACUCUUAUACAUAUAUAUAUUAUUAACUUAUAAUAUUAUAAAGUAUAAGGGUUGAAUUUUAACUUUUAAAAUUCUAAGGGCUAACUUGGAAUUAAAGUAUUCAUAAGUGAAAACUUUACAAAUUCCAAAACUUGAGGGCAAGUUUUGAAACUAUUCAAAACUAAUUAAUUCCAUAACUUAUGUGUUUAAAGUAGUUUUAAUCCAAAAACUCUUCAAGUUCCAUAACUUGAGGACAAGUUAUGGAAGACUUUAAACUAAUAAAAGAAUUAACUUUUCUUUAUUUUAUAACUUAUGGAAUUAAUUAAGGUUACACUUUUUUUUUUUUUAUUUUAUUUUAUUAAAUGAAGAGACUCUUGGUCCUCCAUAACUUGAGGACAAGUUAUGGAGUCAUAAAACCAUUUAAUUAGAACUAGACUCUUCAUUUUUGUAACCUUUGCCAAUUUUUAUGAGUUUUAUGAUUCUUAAAUGUGACUUUUCAUAUAACUUGAGGACAAGUUACAAAAACACAUUUUAGAAUCAAUUCUUAGAUUAAUUUGGAUUAAAACCAACUAUCACAUAAUUUUAUUCAUUAAUCUAAAUUCACUCAUAAAACAAGGUAACACAAAAAACUUUUGGUGAUCCAUAACUUAUUCUUAAGUUAUGGAAUCCUUUAAAACAUUAACACCAAAUUUUGUAACUCCAAAAAAACUUUGAAUCAAUUUUUUUUUUAAAACCUUUUCAUAUCCAUAACUUAUGGAGGUUUCAAAAAAUAAAACUCUUUAGAUCAAACUUUUAAAACUAAUAAAAUAAUCAUAUUAUUUUAUCUUUUAUUAAAUUUGACCUAAUUCAACUCAUAAAGCAAAUUAUUCAAAUUUUACAAAUAAUUAGUUUUUCACAAGAACAAGUAAUUAUCUUAAAAUUUGACAAACUUCAUGUUUUUUUUUUUUUUUUUUUUCAACUUUGAAAAUAAAAUAUUUGCAUCAAUAUAACAGAAAACAACCCGUGGCUCUGAUACCACUGUUGGGUUUUGAGCAUUCUAACACUUCCUAAGUGUACAUGCAACCCUAAAUACCUUGGAUCUAUGUUUUCUCUAUUAUACAUGCAAAUAAGAACAUCCAAGGUAUUAUCCUAAUCUAGCAUACAAAAGUGAAGAGUGUAACAAGAUAGAAUACAUACCUCUUUGAUGUAGAAAGUCUUCAUGAAGCUUGAGUGCCUAGCCCCAAUAGUGUGGAAGCCUCAAAUGGAAUCACAAUCACCAAAACACUUAGAAUAACUUGAGAGAAUUCUACACUUCAUGAAAUCGGCUAGCCCUUUUACUUCACACCCUAGUUCCCGAUUUGGUCAUGAAUAAGAUGCUUAUAUAGUUAGGGUUACACCAUGUAAACCCUAAUUGACAUGGCCUUUAAUUUCCAUGAUCCAUGGGUACAAAUACACCAUGGAGCAUCCAUGGACCAUCCUAUGGGUUUUAGCCCAACUUGAUUAUCCAUGGAGCAUUAGCCCACUAUACAAGUAUGGAUGAUUUACACAAUCAACCCAUAUAUUUAAUUAGUCUUCUUUUGAUCACUUAAUUAAUCCUAGAUUAAUUCUUGAUCAAUACUAAUUAAAUAAUCUUAUUAUUCUUAUUAUUAAUAUACUAGAACUUAUAAUAUAUUAAUAACCAUAAGUGUCUUAUUUCUCUCAUUAUAGUCUAUCCAAGUGCAUGAUGGUAUGCAACCCAAAUGGACCAUGUCGGGUCGGGUCAAGUCUUACCAAUUAUAGUUAUGGACUUAGACAAUAAUCCAACAAUGGCUUCACCCGCAAACUUACAACACUUUAACACUAUCUGGCUGCUAGUGAAUGCUAUGGGUACACCCGCAGACUUACAACACUCUAACACUAUCUGGCUGCUAGUGAAUGCUACGGGUACACCCACAGACUUUUAACACUCUGACACUAUCUGGCUGCUAGUGAAAGCUACGGCUACACCCGCAGACUUACAACACUCCAUAUUGGAUCGACCACGCGCUUGACCUGCAUUCAGCUGAAUUCAUGCCCUGACUGGAAUCCCCAACCUGAUUCCCUAAGGCUUGAUAGCAAACAUUACGAGAACACGAUCUCCUUAUUGGGAAGUUUUUCUGAACUUCCAUCUCACACUCUCUUCAAAUCAUACAACCGCUUGGGCUUUCUUCCUUCCUGAAAAUGAUGCAAAACUUAUCCUAUCUUCAUAACUGCUCUUGCUUCAGAAUCCUGGGUGAUUCUCCCCCACUUUGAUUCAGCUAAUGCUCUACAACACUCAAAACUGAAAAAAUUCUCAAUUCUUCCUACCCUCCCAUGACCAAUCUACUAGAACUCACGCUUAUCCUUGCUAGGGUUUCGACACCAGCUAACCCAAAAGAUCAUACAACUUCUAAAAAAAUCCGAAUAAAUCUUUGGUAAUAACCCGCUAACCCAGGAAGCUCUGAAUCUCAAUUGGAGGCCUCGGAAUCUCCCACUGCAUCACGACCUCUAUCUUGGCCAGAACGACUAGAAUACCCUUCUGAUUGACAAGGUGCACAAGAAAUUGCACCUUGCGCAACCAGAGCUCACAUUUGGAGUACCUUGCAAAAGGACACUCCCUCCUCAAAGUCUCUAGCUCCUCCCUCAGGUGCUUCUCAUGAUGCUCCUCAGUCUUGGAAUAAACCAAGAUGACAUUGUACUCUCCCAAUCUUGCAAUUUUGGAAAUGCUCUAUCACUACUCGCUAAUGUUUCUCAGUAUGCAAUUGGCAUAUGACAUCUCUUGAAAAAAUAAUUUAUGCCCAAACUGAGGAUAACUCAGGGCUACACUUACUCAAACCCUUGAAACGAAAGACUCCAUUGUGUAGUUUCCCGCAUGUGCUGUACUGAAUCUAACCCUGCUGGUCCUUCAUAAGCUUAUCCAAAAUCUAGGGUCUUCUCCUGAGACACCUGUAUAUAAGCAAAUGAUCUAAUUCCCUCUAACCAAUGUGCUCCAAGUCCAUAUCUCGUUCUCAAGAUUUAGAAGUCAUAUCAUUCAGGGUCUUGCACCCCGAGAUACUCACGAUCUCCCUGCUAUCAUUCUAUAGUAUGUUCUGAUAAAUUACCUUCUUCAUUUCUUCAUCUGCUGCAUACUGUGGUACCAUAUAACUCUGAAAUCCCGAAACAUCAGCGUACGAGUUCCUAUCAUGACUGUAACCUCAGUGCAGAAUGCACUCGGCCUCUCAUCACAAAUCUCUAUAAUGCCCUCCUUGAUCAUACUAAGGAUCACAAGAGUCUGGUCAAUGAUAUUGCACAUAAUCUCAGAUGGAAUGAACUCCCUCAUUUGAUCAUCGAGCUACCCGACUACAGAGUCUGAGCCUAAUCCCUCGUCAACACCAGAACUACCAUCUGGUCUACCAUGUAGCGUCACUAUACUCGAUAAUAUACCAUUACUAACAUCACAAUACUCAUCAGAACUCGAGGGAUCUCACACACUACAAGUUCCCUAGUCUUAUCUUAGCCUUCCUUGAUUCGAGUACAGAUCCUCUACUUUUAGUAGUACGGGCCCAUACUACCUUCCACAUCUUUUUGUACUUUCCUCAAGUACUGCCUCGACUCCACCAAGUCCCUUCUACUACUAUUGUUGAUCUCUUGCUAAUCUCAUCCUAGGCUUUCCCUAGGGUAAUCACCAACCCACUCUUCGACGUCAGCUGGAUAAGAAGUCCCUGCCUUAUUCCCCUAACUAGCUUGCGAAUACUAUUACAUAUUACUCAGACUAGAUAAUUCUUCGAAUGAGAGAUCCUACCCUACAACGGUUGGACUCAAACAAGAGCUACAAAAUAGAGCUAGACCUAACCUUCUAAAAUUAUUUAGUCUUUGCAAUAUGUAACUUAAAUAUAUUCGUUUACUAGUUAGUGAAAGACAACUAGAACUCCUAAAAGCACAAAGCAAGCAACAUUCGGGUGUUGAGUACACAUAAUCAAGCAUAUACUACUCUGGCUACAUACUCACUAAUAUGUACUAGCAUGCAAUUCUCAAUAAGCUGGUACACAUAUAACAGGCACAUAAGGCAUCCUUCCUAGAUCCUUAGCCCUAAACUGACAUGCAGUUCUCCUAAAGUUGAUACUCAUAUUAUAAUAUGAUCUUGUAUGGGUAAUUUGGUAGUACUUACUUAAGCUCAGCUGAUUGCAUGCAACACACCUUUUUCCUUUUUCAAAGUUCUUUUCUUUCUAAAAUUUUUUUUCGUUUUUCUAAAACUCUUUUCUUUUGAAAACUUUAUACCACAUCCUUAGUUUGAGUUCAGACACACCCAAAAGUCUGGCCGAAUCCCUCAAACCAAGGCUCUGAUACCAACUUGUAAAAUCCCAAAAACACAGUCUGAAAAUUUCGUUUAAUUUAAUAAUAAAAACCGUAGUCAAUAAACCUCUUUAAAAAAUCAUAAGAAAUGUAUCUCAAAAUAUUAUAAAAACUGUCAAGUAUAUUAGAGUCUAAACAUCCCAGGCUGAACAAAUGGUGUGUGGACUGUAAUUUCCCCGAGCUCCUCUUUUGAAAACUGAGUACCUAAAACCAAAACUAAAAUUGUAAGCACGAAGCUUAGUGAGCUCCCCCAAACUGCCACAUACCAUAAAAUAACAUAUAAACACAUAUUGGGCCUUGCCCACUGCAUCGUACCGAAGUCAGGAAACUGCAUCAGAACGAAGUCCAGAACUGACUGGGACCCCAUCCCCUGCAUUGGACCGAAGUCCGGAACUAACUGCAUCAGACCGAAGUCUGGAACUGACUGGGACUCUGUCCCCUGCAUCGGACUGAAGUGCGAAACUAACUGCAUCCAAGUGAAGGCCGGAACUACAUCAGACCAAAGUUCGAAACUGACUGGGACCCUGUCCCCUACAUCGGACCGAAAUUCGGUAAGUGACUGAACAUAGCUUAACAUAAACAUAUCAACUGGCAUGACUACAUAUACUGCACACUGCAUCGGACCAGAGUCUGGAACACAUAACACAAAACAUGCUUGAAUCACAAAGACAUCAAGCACUCUAACUACUGCAUCAGACCGAAGUCCGAAACAAGUAACAUAUAACAUGGAAGCUAAAUCACUGCAUCGGGCCCCGCUCGGUAUCGGACCGAAGUCCGGUACUACUAACACCUAAACGGGCCGGCAUUGUGGCCUUAGACCCAUUCUACUAGAAGAGGACUCACCUCACACUACUGAAGUCCUACUGACAAACCAUAACUGCUGGAUGACAGAUUCCCGAUCUGUCAAUAUCAAAAUAACACCCAAUUAAUAAUUCGGUUCCACUACAUAACUAUAAAUACAUACUUUGGAUAAUUACUACAUUACCCCUAUCUUGGCUUACCCAAGCCCAAAGCCCAAUCCAUAGGCCUAAAGUCAACUAGGGAUCAGAGACCAACACAUGGCCCAACUUUCCAAAUUGGGCCCAAAUCUCCACAUGGACUUCCCUUAAGUCCCAAUUGUUUAGUCCAAUCCAACAUGUCUCAUUCUAAGGCCCAAUAUCAUACAAUCAUCUAGGCCCAAACUAUGGCCCAAUUUUCCAAAUUGGGCCCAACCCUUCAUAUGGGCCUUACCCUAAAGCCCAACUAAUUACUCUAGUCCAUUUGAUUAUUCUUGGAUGUCCCAACACAAAGCCCAAGUGAAUAUUAAGGUUUUCUCACUUAGCCCAUUAAGGUCUUAAUCCAUUAAGUCCUUUACUCUACUAGAUAGUUAAUAUGGAGAAAUUGCGCUUAAUACAUAAUUCAAUCUCAAUGGCACAAAAGUAGGUCCAAUAAGUCCAAGGCCUAAAUACUCACAGUUAGGGUUUUGAUCUAAACAUGGCCCAAUAGGCCCAAAAUUAAUCUUUAAACCCAUUAGGGUAUUGGCUAGGUCCAUUAGGGUUUUGCUUGUGGGGAACCACCCACUACCACCUCGGGUAGUGGUGCUCAAUCGGCGGUACACGGCGGCGGCUACCACCUUAUGGUGGUAGUUACUAUUAUUAUUUUCAUUAUUUCAUGCUAAUUACAAUUACAAGCCUUUCAUCCAAAAUACACACUAACUAAUACACACACAUAGCCACACCAUGGUGGCCAGCAAAAUAGGGCAGAGACGGCAACCCAGCGGCAUUAAUAGCAAUAGCCACCAUGGCCAGCCGCCAUGGUGGUUCUUCCCAGUUGUCGGCGAACAACCCAGCACACAAUAGAUCUGGAAACGACCUCCCGCCAGGUAGCGCACGACGACCGGCAACAGCACAACCUUGGUAGUCGGCGACAGAUACUACAUCAGUGGGAGAAGGUGGCAGUUGGACAGAUGGCAGCGGCUGGAGAAGGCAUCGGAACCGCAACAGUGAAACACCGGGACAACAUCCAUUGCACAUCGUCGCUGGCAACAGAACGGUAGCAACAUCGGCGCCAACUGCCGGAGAUAGCGGCGGCAGGCGCUAUCGACUUAUUACACUUCAUCACCGCCGGCACAAGUACUCCAUGUUGGUUCUCAUUGCUGCCUGUGACAAGGGCUGAUCGAUGGUGCAAGGUGGUCGGAAGAGGAAUGGGUGGAUGGUGGCGAUGGCGCCGGAGGCAAGGAAGAGGUGGGGUGACGAUUGCCUCUCUUCUUAGGGUUAAGGAUUGGCACCCGGUGAUGUUGGGUUAUAUACUUGACUCACGAAACUUUGCCCCAUAAUGACAAAUUAAGCCCUUCCUUUCCCUCAUUUCUAUCAAAGUAAUCCAUAUUUUACACUUUUAACCCUACCUUUAGAAAUCUAUACAACUGAAUCCAAAACUUACCUUUUAAGCCUUGAUCCCAUAAAUUUCUUUCAUAAUAGACCCCUAAAUUACCAGUAAACCCUUCAAUCUUCAAAUCUUUUCUAUUUAGGUCCAUAAAUUACCAAACGCACCCUAACCUCCAAAAUCCUUUUCAAUUUAGUCCCGAACUUACACUUUUAACCCUUGACUUUCAAAAUUCUUCACAAAUUAGUCCGGGACAUAGAUUUAUCAAUUUAUUUAAAUAAACGAGCGUUAUAGCAACCCUCUCAGAAAGGCCUUUGAACAACAGAGUGAAGAGGCCAUUCCAUUAAGGAGGAAGUCAAGACUUCUUGACUUUAGUCACUGUCGUGAGGAGUUCUGUAUACCCCAUAUUGUAGAACAUUGAAAAGAGCUGAGCAGUGGUGAUGGAGUCAGGGAUGACCAUGGAGGCUUCGUAAGAAAGCUUUAGAAGUGAGCAAAAAUAAUACUCGGAAAUCGACGUCUUUUGAUCUAGAAUGUCAAAGAAAACCCUCUCUUUUGUCUUGUCGUAUGUUGCAGUAGAGUACACCCGAGAGAGAAAAGACAUUGGAUCUGAUUCAACCUGCGUCAAUGAUAUAAAAAGUGGAGAGUACUUGAGACAUUCCACCAUAUUAAGCAUAUAUAGAUCAUAUACAAAUGAUGUGAUAUCGAUCAGAAGGUUCUGAUUCGCCUUGAUAGAGAUAAGAGUCGAUCGAGCAGAAGUCUCGUGCACUGAAGAAGAUUCUGCCAUUGUUGAAGCUCAAUGAAGAAAGAUGAUGAACAGUGGAGGAAAAAUUGUCAGUAUUUGUCUUUGAGAAGUAUGAGAGCGGUAAAAGGGUAAAGGUAAUUUGAGAAAACCCUUUAUACUGUUAACUAGAAGACAAAAACAAAUCGCAAUAAUAUCACAGGAGAAAACAUCUCAAUCGACGCCUAGGAAAUUGUGAUUGGACAACUGUUACAGCGAAAAAGGCGAUGACAGGCGUGACAUCAGCUAUCGUUUCAAAUUCACGUGCCUUUCUAUGUUUAUCUCAAAAUUGGUUUCCGAUUCUAGACCCUUGAAAUUCAUGCUGACUCAUCCUUUUGCUUUUAAAAGAGUCCAUUCUAUCAUAAUGAACCGUAGCUACAUUUCUGAAAAUAGAACCGCACUUUGGAAAAUCAAAGAUCUCUGUGCAAGAUAGUGUCAAAUAUAAAGAAAUAAAGGAAAUAAUUUGUGAGAUAUAUGUGAUGUCUAGGAAGACAUAAAAAGUGGAUCCUGGGCACGAAUCUCUACCUUCAAAGUUAAGAGAGACUUCAAAGUGCUUAUUUGGUUUCCCGUUGAAUUACGAUCAAAUGCCUGUAAAGGGAUAUUGAAAGGCAUAUUUUCAUAUAAAGCUAUUAGGGUGGCUUUCGCUUCAAUCCAUACAUGGGUACUUGACAUAAGACCGAAAAUGGAAGAAGUACUUGUGAGACCGGUGUAGCCUGUUAAAAAAGUAGGUUUGGGUCUUUUUCAGUGACUUGGUGAUAUAAAUAGGAAAUCUCAAAAACAAAACUAGAACUAGAUCUUAUGUCAAGAAACAUCUUGGUGUUAGACAAUUUCAUAAAGAUCACACAAAAAUAAAAGGAGAUUUCUUGAGAUAACAAGUAAUAGCUUGAACGUGUAUGUGAUCACCGUUAAUUCAUUUAAGGUGUUGGAUUUUAGGUUUCACUUAGCACUUGGUGAACAUAUCUAAGAUCAUCAACACAGAUGUUGUGUAACCAUAAACCUCAGUGGAAAUUGCUGAGAGUCUCAAGGGUUACAAUUGUGGAGCGAAACGAGAUGGACAAAUAAGAUAAGGUGGUUAAGGAGUCGUAAGUGCCUAUGCUAUUUGAGAAUGACAAAAUAGAAAACUGUUAACUCAAAAUGACAAGAGUAAGGUAGCUCAUGACUUGAGUGAAAUUAGCAGCCUAAUUGGGAAGAAAUGAUUGGUUUCGAUCGAAUCAUUAAGGCUUCACUCACAGUCUUGGAGGCUUCGGUCUACAUACAACAACAUGCUUCUAGGGACACUUAACUAGUACAAAGAUAGAAAUAUCAUACCUGCCCUGGAUCCAAUUGGUAUAGCUUAUGUGUUCUUCAAACCUUAGGUAGAAAAGAAACAAGAACAAAACAAAACACAAAAAGAAAAUAUUUUUGAUGUUUUGAAAAAUAAUAAAAAUAGAAAAUAUUUUUGAAUUUUAUUAAAAGUAAGAGAAAAACAUAAAAUAAAUUAAGAUACAAUAAAGUGUACAAAAGAUACAACUGAAAUGUCACCAUUGUAUAUGAGGCGAAAUGGACCGAGCAUUCAGUUCAUUUUGGUUCCCGAAAAAUCAGGACCCGAAAUAGACCGAGCGUUCGCUCUAUUUCACUUCCAACUUUUAAUGACGUGAAAGCGAUUUCAGUAUGGAUUCAGCUUCCAUCAUUCCUAAGCCUUGUAAGAUUAUAUUAAAACUUGCUUCAUGCAAGGCUUUUGUAAAGAUCUCAGCUAAUUGAUCAGUGGUUCUUACAAAAUGUAUUUCGACAUUACCGUGUUCCGCGUGAUCCUUAAUAAAAUGAUACCUCCGUGGUAUAUGUUUCAUUUUGGAGUGUUGCAUUGGGUUGUGACAUAUCCUUAUUACACUUUCUAAGUCACAAUAUAAUGGAAUUUUCUUCAUGUUCAGGCCAUAGUCUCGAAGUUGGCUUUGUAUCCAAAUGACCUGUGAUGUACAUGAUGUUGUAGCUAUAUACUCUGCUUCAGCUGUAGAAAGAGACACAUAGGUUUGUUUCUUCAAUUACCAGCUGACAAGUUUGCCAUCAAGGAACUGGCAUUCUCCAGUAGGGCUCUUUCGGUCCAAUCCACAUCCUCCUAGAUCAGCAUUAGAGAAUGCCUUGACAAAGAAUUUUGAGUUUGAUGGGUACCAUAGACUGAGAGAAGAGGUUCGCUUCAAAUAUCGAAAGAUAUUCUUCACACCCAAUAGGUGAGGUUCACAUUGAUUAGCUUGAAACCUGGCACAAUAACAAACAGAAAACAUUAUGUAUGGUCAACUUGUUGUUAGAUACAUCAAGGACCCUAUCAUUUGAUGAUAGAGGGUCAUGUCAGCAACCGGUUUUUCUAGAGAAGGUGUUAACUUUGUGCCAAACGCCAUAGGAACCUUCACUUUUGAGUAUCCCAUCAUUCCAAACUUGAAUCUCCCUUCUUUGUCCAUUUUGUUUCGAAAUACCCAUUUCAGUCCAACUACAGAUGCAUCCUUUGGUGUAGAAAUUAGUCUCCAUACCUUGUUUCGCUCAAACUCAUUGAGUUUGUCUUGCAUUGCUUGUAUCCAAUCAUAGUAAUCGAGUGUAGUGUUGACAGUCUUCAGUUCAAUUUUGGAGACAAACGAAUUAAACAUGCCAAAUUCCACUUGAGAGAAUAAUGUAGUUUGCUUCGCUUUCAGUUGAGAAUGAGUAAGAACUCUUUCUGAUGAAUCACCAAUGAUUUGUGUUUUUGGAUGAUCUUUUGUCCAUUUGGUGAGAGGAGGGUAAUUUGAAUCAUAGGAGGGAUACAACUCAACAUUUACUUCUUCUUCCAAUUCCGACUGAGUAUCAUCAUCAUUUGUAUUUGCAUUCUCCCCCUUAAAUGAUGAGACAGUUUCGGCUGCAGGCAUGGAAUUCUCCCCCUCAAUUGGACGUUCGGUUGAUAUGGUAGUUGAUGGUUUCUCCCCCUGGAAUGGUAAUUUAGGGUUAUCGGAUGAAGAUGAACCCUCCCCCUGAAAUGUAGAACUUUUUUUUGGAGGUUCGCUUUGACUGGCCUAUUUGGUAGUUCUCGGUUGUUCUUUUUCCAUAUCAUUCGCUCCGUCAUCAAUGAUUUGCUUCACAGUAUCAAUCUCUUUGUCAGCUACCUUUGCUUUAGAGUGAAUAGCUUUCUCUGGUUCAUCAAAUAAUGACAUGUAUUGCUCAAAUAGAUUUUAAAUGGAAAUAGUGACUUCACCAAAUGUUGGAAAGAUUUCCUCCAUUGAACGUUCGGUUGUUUGAAGCUUUUUGGCGUAGUUGUCAUCAAAGGUGACAUAAUAGGUUUAUUCAAUUUUCUUGGAAUGUUUGUUUAGAAUCCUAUAUGCCUUCGAGUUUAAUGAGUAGCUAAGAAAAUGUUGGAUUAGUGUCUAAGUCCAUAACUAUUUUGGUAUGUACUUGACCCGAUUAUGAGCAUGGUCCUUUUGGGUUGCCUUCAUCAUAGCAAUAUGUAGGAUGAAUUAAGGAGAGAAAGGUUUAAUUAUCAUUUAUUAAUAUAUUAUGAGAAUAAUAUAUUAAAGGAGAAAUCAUAUUUUUUAAUUAAUAUUAGUCAAGAAUUAAUUGAUAAAUAAUUUUGUGGCUAAUAGAGAUUAAUUAAACUUAGGGGACUGCAGUUGUAAUUAUAAGAUAAUUAUAAUUGGGCUAUGGAUCACUUAAUAAAAUAUAGGUUGGACGAAUUCUAUGGAAAGCCCAUUAGAAAUCGUCCAAGGGAUAUGUUGAAGGAGUCCAUGGGCUGCUUAGGGCUUAAGCAGUCAGAUUAGGGUUUCCUAGUUGUAAACCCUAAUAGCCUACAUGUAUAUAAAGGACCCUUAAGCCCCAAAAACGUGGAGAACACUUCCUUUAGGGUUUCUAGACGUUUUGGGCAGCCUCCUCUCUUCUCCUCUUCAUCCAGGUUGCUUAGUGGUGUUUGUGACUCCAUUAGAGGUGCAGCACUUGAGGCACUAAGCUUUCUAAGGCCAAUCCAAGCAAGGAAUUGAUUGUUAUUGUUAUAUAACAAUCAAAGGUAAUUCUCUAAACCCUAAUUCAGUUUAUUAUAUGUUAGAUUAGGGUUUAUUAGUCUUGGAUUCAUUGCAUGUACAAAAGAGAAACCUAGAUCCAAGCAUUAGGGUUUGUAUGAGCACAUAGGAUUGUUCUUAUGCCUAAAACCCAUCAGUGGUAUCAGAGCCUUGAUUGGUUUCUGUUGUAUGUGUUGCAAUUGUCGAAUUCUUGCUGAAAAAAUGAUUUUUUGGCCUCUGCCCGACCUGAUUCGGCGAGUCAGUGGAUGAACUCGGCGAGUCAGUCUGACUCGGUGAGUCCAGUCCCAGACUCGGCGAGUCCAGGGGUCAGAUAGAGGGAAUAUCGGGAUUUCUUGUUGUUUUGCUGAAGGAUUAAUACCAAAAACGUAUUUUGAUGAUAAAAUCCGAUUUUUAUUAUAUUUGGAUGAUUAUCCUUCAUAAAACAAAAGAUAAUUUCAAAUCUUUUGAAUAAUAGUUUCCUUAUUAGUAAAUAUGGAUUAUUUAAAUUAUUUGGUAAUUAUCUUAUGAAUAAAAUGAGAUUAGGUCAAAUAUAGAUAAUCACCAAAUUAAUUGUUUAUUAUGUUAUUUGUUAUAUGAUCCCUUAUGUUUUGAAAAGUUUCAAAACUUGCCCUCCAGUUUUGGAAUUUAUAUUUUGAUUAAAAAGUUUAAUUUUGAAAUAUUUAAAUUCUGAACCCUAAUGUUUUGAAAUGUUUCAAAACUUGCCCUCAAGUUUUGGAAUUUAAAAGUUGAUUAAAAGUUUAAUUUUGAAAUGUUAAAUUCUAAAACCCUAGUAAUUUGAAAAGUUCAAAUCACACCCUUAUGGUUUUAUUAAUUAAUUAAAGUGUAUAAUUAAAAGUGAUUUAAUAAACCCAUAAAGUUUUGGUUUACAUUUAAUUAAAUUAAAAGUAUAAUUUACUAAAUUAAACCACCUAGUAUUUUAAAAGUGUAAAAUACACCCUAUACUAUAUAUAACAUUAAAAGUCUAAUAUUAUAUAUAUGUAUGAGUAAACAGUCAGUCUUACCAUUAGUAGGCCUCAUUCACGAAGCUGGUCUAUAAGGGGUGUUUAAGGAAAUUGCCUAUAAAAUGGCGAUUGAAUAGGUAUCCACUCUUACCCACCGCACUCUUGACUAGUGAAGGGUCGUUAGUCGGACGGGUAGGAUAGCACAGAAACGUUCCAUUAUAAGUAUAAUGAAGUACAAAGUAACUAAAUGCUUAUACGAAUUCCCAAAUCAUAGUUACUUUAGGCAAAAUGUGAAAUUGUAUGCUAACCCAUGGAAUUACACUUCGUACCCUUGUCAAACGUUAGUGGAGCGUGUGUGGUUAACCGGAACACUAAUUUGGGGACGAAAUUGGUGGUGAAGGGUGGCUCGAUGUUUAUCAUAGAUCAAUGGAGCGUGUGUGGCUAACCGGCACAUUGAUUAGGUGAUAGUAGCAUCGGGUGCACCAUGUGAUUCGUAUGGUUAUUCACACCUUGUUUGUGAUCCUCAGCAUCUCAGUCACAAAUAGUAGGGCAUAAUCAAGAUUAAACAUGCCAUUGGAAAGUUCAAUGAAUCUCAAAAGACCUAGGAGCUUCAAUUCAUUUAAAACUUAAACUUCUUUUUCGUUUUUCAUGGUGGAAAUUGGUAAAUCGUCAUUUACCUACCUUCAAAUAUUCUACAACUAGAUUACGACAUCCCUCUUCUAGGUUGUAGAAUAUUGUGUUGGAUCCUAGCUUGAUGUUUCAUUUGGGUGUUACAUCAAGAAUUCUAAUCAACUUAACUUGAAUUUUCUCCCGUUUUGUAGAUGUCUGAAUCUUACAAUGGUCUUCCCAAAUCCUUUGGAACAAGCUUUCCAAAUGAGGAUGACGUUCUGAGAUACGAUCAAGGAAAUGAGAGUCAUGCUUUACUUCCUCCACCUCCUCCAAUUGUUCUCCCUGACCCACAAGUUCGAAGGCUUGAAAAGUUCAAGCUCACUCAAACCCUUUGGGCAAGUAAACACAAAGAUGGAAAAUCCGUGUGUGCACACAUCUUAGAGAUGAAGUCACACAUUGAUAAGUUAAGCAUGUUGGGUGUCAAGAUUUCAAGUGAGUUGGCAGUUGAACGGGUUCUUCAGUCACUUCCUAAAUCAUAUAGUGAGUUCGUUAGAGAGUACUAUAUGAUGGAUCACGACGUGACCCUCAUUGAUCUCACCUAUUUGCUUAUAGCUGCUGAAUCAACAAUGAUUUGGCGUGUUGGUCAAGCAAAUUUGUCUAGUGAAUCAAACUCCCAAACUUCAAUGGACACUGGCAACAUUGGAAGUCCAGAAAGAACUAAGUUUGUGAUUGUCCGGUGUGGUGUUCCAAAGGAGUCCGUUUGCUUUUAUUGCCAAGAGAAGGGGCAUUGGAGACGUAGCUUCCCUAACUACCUGAGGGAUCUAAUAGAUGGGAGAGUCAAGAUGUAUGGCUCUACUUCAGGUAAAAUCCAUUAGCUAACUCUUUUAAGUUCCUAUUCUAGAUUCUUAAUACAUUAUGUGAUAAGAUUACAUUUUGAUGUUUGGUUGGAUCGAAGAAAAGAGAGGAUGCUUAAGGGAAGAAGUGAGCUGAAUCUAAUUGUAAAGAAAUGGAUUUCGAUCGCAUUGCUUGAAGAUUAGACUCUUGAGCUACUACUUGGAGUUAGAAUAAAUUGUUAAGAAAGAUGUAAUAUCAUAGUUUUUCAAUUGAAUUGCUUUGUAAGGACAAAAUUUUCCACAAUAAAAAUGAAUUUUGAUUUUGUCUUAUUUAUUUAUCCUUCCAAUGGCAUGUAUGAAAAAAAUUGAUGUUUUUGAAGGUUUUUAUUAUUAGCAAUAAUGGAUUUGAUUCUUAAUUGUAUUAUUUGUGGGAAUGUCGAGAAUUUACCAAAUAGGGAGAGUUUCUCAUCGCCCAAGUUUCAAGUGGACAGAAACUUGGAAUCAUGCAACGUGUAUUGUAUGAUGAAUGAAAAACUUUCACAUUUGGGAAAUUUAGACUAAUUCUUUGACAAAGUGUCAAUUGAAGGACUAGGAGAUCGAGUACACUAGGUCGUAUGUUGAUCAAGUCUACCACAAGAAUGAAGAAGAUAUCCGUCAUGAUUUACUAAAGUUUAGUAAAUAUGGUUAUAUUUAUAAGAUUAAGUGUAAUUCUGAGUUAAUUGAAAAGGUUUCAAUAAAUAGCAGAACGAUUAAAGAAGAAUCAAGUAGGCAUAAAGAUAAAGGUUUCUCUGUUCUAAGAAAAAGGGAGAGUACUUUUAUUGUGUUAGGUCUUAAUGGUUAAGAACCAUAUCUCAAUUGAUUCUAUAAGUGAGUCUUAGUACAUUUAUAUGUCUAAGAAGACGAAUCAAGAAUUGUGGAAUUGGUUAAAUCAAGAAGUUAAUCAUAUUCGUUCCAAUAUCGAAUCUUAGAGUCAUACUCCAAGAUUUCGAAUGGAGUGAAAAGUCUUUAGUAGGUUUAUAACAUUUAACGAAUGUGGGAAUUUGGAAAAGUGUUCUUAUUCUUGCACAUUAGAAAUUGGUAAGUUGUGCUGUCUUGGAAAAGGCAAAGACCAACUAGGACCAAUUUGUGAAGUGUUUUGAUAAAAGCUACACUAACUCUUGAAUAUUUGUUUGUCAAGAAAUGUUUCUUGAUACGAGAACCUUAUAUGUCAAGGAGUCAGUGGGAGUUUUAAUGUUUUUGAAAAAGGUUUCGAAAACAAAUCAAGAAUAAACCUUAUCGAUCAUCACUGGCACACGACUUCAGGUUUACAACCUAUCGUGUUGACAUUAUUUUGUUUCGGUGCCAUUCCAAUUGAGUUAAUUAUUCAUGUGAGUUCUAUGAGUUCUCAUUUGAAUGCAUAAAGACAAAUCACAUUGAUCAAUGGAAAGUACAUUGAUAUGUAAGGAUAAGUUGCUAAACUACUUGGAAGACAUGGUGGGCACUCAUGUUACCAUAAGGCAAGAAAUCAAGAUUAAGAAAGUUCAGUCCAUAUGAGUUUGGAUUUGUCACAGACUUUGGUUUUGGCAAAUUCACAUGGAUAGGAACUCAUACACCAUAAAAUCUAAGUGUCAUAAGAUUCCCUCCUUCAUGAAAAUUAUUGUGAGGAAAUGCUUUCACUAAGAGAGAUUUUAAGAAGAUGGCGAUUGUGAAAAUUGUAUUCUCAAAUUUGAUUAUGGUUACGGCAUCCCUUUCCAUAGUUCGAGUUGUGAGAUUUGGCAAUUAGUUUGAACAUUUGGAACUUAGUAACAUAAGUUCUGAAUUGAUUAAACACACGUAUGAGCUAUCUAAGGCAAAGGUGUAUAAGUUUAAAAAGCUUAGAUAAAGGCUUAUCAAAGCAUCUGGUAUUAGAAAUACGAAUUUCAGAAAUUCAAUAGGCAUUGUUUUCUGGAAGUUCAUUUGUUUUCUGAAUACAUGUCAAAGCUAGUGGGAGCAUAAGUGUUAUGCUUAUAUGAUAGUAAUCAUCAUGAUAGUGGGAGCAUAAGUGUUAUGCUUGUAUGAUUAUUAUGGAAAGUAUUGCGAGUUAGCAAUAUUAAUUAUAGAAAAACAAAGAUUCAAUUUACAAAGUUGCAUGGGUUGAAAAUUUGUUUUGCUAUUAUCAAGGGAGAGAAUAUUAUACUUCGUUUCAAAAUCUAAAGCUUAAACUGAAAAAAAUUUAAUAUUUUUAGUCAAAGGAUACAUUGCGUGUUCUCAAAUUUCGAUUAUGAUUACGACAUCCCUCUUUAUAGUUCGAAUUGUGAGAACAUGACACAUAAAAUAUUAUGGCAUAAGAUUGGUAAAGUAUCAUAUCUUUAUGUAAGACAUUAUGCAUCGUGUCCCAUAAGCUUCGAGUAUAGGAUCGAUUGAAAAUGCUAUAAUAUUUUACCAUUCUAAAAUUUUCCAAAUGUCUAGCGCAUUAAGAGGGAAAAAGGACUAGAAUUGGUUUUGACUAAAAUAAUUAAACAACUAUCAAAGGACGAUCCAAAGUUCGCUGAAGAUUGGUCGCUUGUGAGUAGUUGGAAGUAUGGUAUUGGAUGGACCAUAUCGACGUUAUUAUAAAUAGAUAAGAUUCUAUUAAGAUUGAGUUGUCAUAUGGCAAAUGUGGAAAUGUUUCCAUAUUGGGAGUUGGAUAUUGAGAGUCUAUGUCUAGAUUAGAAAAUUUUAUGCGAGAAGGGUGUUUAAAGGAAUGUACUUUGAAUGUGAAACUUCGCGUCUAUGGAAUUGUGUUGUAACAAUUUCUAAGAGAGUACUUUGUAAUUUCAUUAGCCAAGUCUUGGUGACUUUUGUGCUAUGACUUUACGAAAGGAUCGUUGCAUAAAAUGUUAGAAUCUAGCAUAUUCUACUGGUAGCUAAGAACCUUGUGUUCUUACACUAAUGAUAAGGAUUGAGAAUUGAGAAAUGAGCAUCAUUGGAAAAGUUUUCAAUUGAUCUAUUUCACAAAGCAUAGACCAUAGGAAACAAAGUGUGCAUGCUUGGAGCAUGGAACAAUCGUUGUUGUAAUUCAAGUAAUGAGUUGAUUAUUCGAAACAUUAAAUGAUAAAUAAUGAGUAACCAAUAUAGUGGAUAAAUAGAAGUGUUUUAUUUACUCUCACAAGUUUGGGGCCAUAUAGGAUUAACUAUUAUUAUUAUGUUUCAGUUUGCAUGUUUUGACUUCCAGAAUAACUAGGUUAUUCAAACAUCCACAGUCGGUCAUACGUUGGGAGUAGGUAUGAAGGAAGACUGUCAUGAAUCUAUCUGUAGAUUGUUUGAAGUGUUUAGACAUGGCACAAGUUUACUACAGAGUUUAUGAGUGCUUUGAUAAGAUUAGAGUAUUGGAUUAAACCCACGCUCACUUGGAUCACUUUAUGGAUUUUAUCCCAAGUGAUUAGUGAGAUGAUAAUAUUGUAUAUUCUUGAAACUGAGACGUGUGAGUUGUUAUUUGCUGGUCGGUUACACAUUGAUAAUAAGUAAACGCACCAGUAACUUGGUGUUAUAAAACUUAUUGUUGUGUGUGAUUCGAUCAGUAAAUUCAAGCGAGCAUUUGAGUCGAAGUUUAUCCAUUCCUUUUACCCAAAGUAGGAUAAAAGCGGUAUAUGUGGGCCUCUCGAUGAUUUAGUGAUGAAACCUAAGCGCUUGGCCAAGCCGGGACUAAGUUGAUGUGUUAAGUUGUAGUCUGUAAACAGCCGUCAUAAAUCGGAAGUCGGGAAAUAGUAUAGAGAGAAUGAUUAAAAUUCAUGUCUUAUGUCUAUAUGAUAUCUUGAGAAUGGUGGAAUAUAUGAUCCCUUAUCUAAAGCACACACUAUCUGAUAAGAUCAGAGUUGACAUCGACUUUUGAAAGCUACAAUUGCUGAUCAGGUUCUGAAGUCACAUGGAAAAUAGUUAUUAGACUUAUCCAGAGAGAAGACUGUUGGAUUAGUGUCUAAGUCCAUAAUUAUUUUGGUAUGUACUUGACCCGAUUAUGAGCAUGGUCCUUUUGGGUUGCCUUCACCAUAACAAUAUGUAGGAUGAAUUAAGGAGAGAAAGGUUUAAUUAUGAUUUAUUAAUAUGUUAUGAGAAUAAUAUAUUAAAGGAGAAAUCAUAUUGUUUAAUUAAUAUUAGUCAAGAAUUAAUUGAUAAUUAAUUUUGUGGCUAAAAGAGAUUAAUUAGACUUAGGGGACUGGAGUUGUAAUUAUAAGAUAAUUAUAAUUCGAUAUGGAUCACUUAAUAAAAUAUAGGUUGGACGAAUUCAAUUGGAAGCCCAUUAGAAAUCGUCCAAGGGAUAUGUUGAAGGAGUCCAUGGGCUGCUUAGGGCUUAAGCAGUCAGAUUAGGGUUUCCUAGAUGUAAACCCUAAUAGCCUACAUGUAUAUAAAGGACCCUUAAGCCCCAAAAACGUAGAGAACACUUCCUUUAGGGUUUCUAGACGUUUUGGGCAGCCUCCUCUCUUCUCCUCUUCAUCCAAGUUGCUUAGUGGUGUUUGUGACUCCAUUAGAGGUGCAGCACUUGAGGCACUAAGCUUUCUAAGGCCAAUCCAAGCAAGGAAUUGUUUGCUAUUGUUAUAUAACAAUCAAAGGUAAUUCUCUAAACCCUAAAUCAGUUUAUUAUAUGUUAGAUUAGGGUUUAUUAGUCUUGGAUUCAUUGCAUGUAAAAUAGAGAAACCUAGAUCCAAGCAUUAGGGUUUGUAUGAGCACAUAGGAUUGUUCUUAUGCCUAAAACCCAUCAGAAAAACCCCUUUGUCAGCGUCGACAUCAAACUUGUUUCGGUGCACCUUAUAAUUAAAAAUAACGCAUCUGGAACCGAACACAUGGAAGAACUUGACAUUUGGAUUACGAUUGUUCAAGAUCUCAUAUUGAGUAAUAGAAAAACGCUUGUUGAGAAGAGAUAUGUUCUGUGUGUAGCAAGCAGAAGCAAUUGCAUCAGCCCGAAAAUAUAAAGGCAAUGAGGCAAAACUGAGCAUGGUGCAGGCUGCUUCACACUACGAGUGGUUUCACCUUUCAAUGACACCAUUUUGUUGUGGAGUGUAGGGAGCAGAAAAGUUGUGAGAUAUGCCGUUUUCAGCAAUUCAAAUUCAUUGUUUUUGAACUCCAGCCCAUUAUCACUUCGAAUAUUUCUCACCAGCUUUCGCAGUUGAAGCUCUAUUUGCUUGACAAAAACCUUGAGCUUUGGUGUAGCCUCUGAUUUCUGAUUAAGAAUGAACACCCAAGUGAAACAAGAAAAAUCAUCUACUAUUACUAGUAUAUAUUUGUAACCACCAAUGCUUUCAAUAGCCGAAGGUCCACAUAAAUCUAUAUGUACAACCUCAAGUGGUUCGAUGAUCUUCGUGUUGACACGUGUUGGAUGACUUUUCCUGCUUUGAUUUCCCAUUUCACAUGCAGCACACAUAUGUUAUUUAUCAAAUUUGAGUAUUUGAAGUCCUCACACAUGAUCACCAAGAACUAGCUUGUUCAUGACUUUGAAGUUGACGUGCGAGAGCCUUCGGUGCCAUAACCAACAUCCGUCUGAGUGUGCUUUCGUUAGCAGACACACAGCUGGCUUUCCUCGAAUGGGAUUGAGGUUCAGUGGGUACAUCUCACCUUUUCUUUUGGAUUUUAAUAGAACCGUUUUGGUCUUCUUCUCUACUAUUUCAGACACUUCAUCAUCGAAUGAAACCUUCAGUCCAUUUCCCACCACCAGUUGUGAAACACUGAUGAGAUUGUGUUGUAAGCCCUCUACGUAUGCUACUUUUCUGAUCGAGAAUUCACCAUUUGUGAUCAUUCCAUAGCCUUUGAUUGUGCUAAAUGACUUGUUGCCAUACUUGAGACAACCACUAUCCAUAAGAGCUCGAAACUCCCAAAACUCUUCCUUUCUCCCUAUCAUGUGACAUGAGCAGCAACUAUCAAUGCACCAUUUGUCGUCGAACUACUCGUCAUGUGUAACCUGCAAAAAUCAAGCAGAUUUAGGAACCCAAAGUUUCUUGGGUCCAUGUGAUUACCAAUUGAUGAGAUAAAAACUCUUUAGAUCGACUAGAUCUUUAACAGGUAAAUAAAUAAGACCAACAAACAAAAGAACAAUCAAUGAAUCAAUCCGUAUGUCGAAUGAUUAAAAUAUUCUCACCCCUCAAAAGAGCUCGAUUAAGAACUGAAGAGAUAAAAUCUCUAAGAUCGUUUAGAUCUUUUACAGGUUAAUCAAUGAAGAACAAACAAUUAUAAUAAACAAAAGAAUGUACACAAGAUGGAAUCAAGGUAAUACUGAAUGAUUCAAAUGUAGUCACGCCUCAACAGAGCUCUAUUAAGAACUUCCACUGUAGAGACGAUCUAGGGUUUACAAUACGAUGAUGAAAAAUAGUAAAAGUCAUAAUUACUAAGGAUACGUGCAUGCACCUUAAAUACUGAAAUCCAAGAAUAAAAGAAAACACGGUUGGACAGGCCCAAACCGGUUACAAAAUUGGGGUAACUAUGACCGAGCCCAAAGAUGCAACAUUCAGAACUCAACAAUCUCCCCUUUAGGUCAAUUGGGGUGAGACCUUUACUUCGGUUGAUUGACAGUUACUCACUUCACUACCUUUAACAAGCUUGGAAUUAUAGCAAGAACAACUUGUCGAAAGUCGAUAUACCAUCUUAUCAUAUAUGUGAAGUACUUCUUAUCGCUUUCACUAUUUUGCUUACAUCUGUGAAUGAUUCCCAGAACAUACUCAAAGCACGAAGUAGUAAAGAGAUGUUUAUCAGUUAGAGCGAACAUGCAUUUCUUACCUUCUUGCAUGGUGAACAUCACCGAGUUCAACUUCAGGUUAAUCUUUCCCAUUUUCAUCUUGUUGACAUCGCUUGCAGAACCAACAGGAAAAAUGGUAGGCUUCUUUCUGAGAACUGAAGCGAUCUCUUGAUCCAUCUUGGCUACCUCUAGAAUGUAGCAGACUAACAUUCUUUUCAGAUGAUCAAUGAUUGGCUCAUACUCGACUGGGUCAGAGAAGAAUGUUGUGUAGAACAAUCCAAUCAUGAGGAUUGAGAUUAGGUAUAUCAGCAAAGGAGAAGGUAUGCUCAGACUUGGCCGAACCUCUGGCAACCUUGAAUUUGAUGUUGAUGAAUUUCCAUGCUACGUGAGGCUUAAGGACCCGAAUUGUGAUAAUUUUUUGAGCACUCCAACUAAGAUAUUUAGGUUGAGCGAACUCCAUAUAGUAGUCUAUUAGCUCAUGAUCAAUCUUCGGGUCUGGAUGAGGUACUACUGCGAAAGGAAGAAAGCAGUGAAAAACAAACGCCUUCCGGGUGAUUGGCAUAUCGAACUGAGAGUCUCUUGUAUUUUCACAAUCCAAAGACACUACUGGCUCAAGCCAAUGAGUGCUAGGGGAAUCGAUGGCUUCUUUGAUUAGCUUUUCCGGAGUCCAGAGCGGAAAGAGGGUUUUCUUGCUUUCUAGGAGAUCAUGAGCCUCUUUUAAUCUUCUUUCAUUCUCUUCAGCUUCCUUUACAAUCUUGGCAUUGAGAUUGAGUUCCCUUUUCCCUUGCCUUUCGCUUCAGAGCAUCAACUAUUGUCUCCUAUUCCUCGUCACUGUCAUCCACAAUACCCUUGCCUUUAUCCUUAAAGCCCGAACCCAAAGAAUGCUCAGUCUUCUGUUGUCCCGGCUGAGUAGUAGGAGGAGGUUGAGACGAAGAUGUUAGUUCUUCUCCCCCUUGUUUCGGAGGUACCAUAGUCUCUGAAACACCUUCGAUGUGACUCAACAUCCCAAGUGCAUGACGGAAUUUUUCAGCAAGAUGACGUCUAACUGAUAUGGUCAAGAUAGGUUCGUCAGUCUCCAGAACGUUCGAUAAAUUGGCGUGUACGUCUGAGACAUAACUUUUGACGACAACCUUUUCAGAAUGAAGGUGAUCUACCUCUUUGUUUGCCUAGGAAAGUUGGAGAUUUUUGUUUUUCAGCUGAGUAGUCUUGAGAGCGAGUUCAUCCAUGAUCGAGCUUUCCAUGGCUACAUCAGCUUGGAGAUUUGUGAGACGCUCAUUGAGAGGGGACAUAAGGGCAACAUUAUCCUUUUGAAUGUUCUGGCGAAGGGAGGCAAAUUGUUACUUCUCAGUAUCAAAGGAUUCUUCAAGUUUGGCAAUGGAGUUGUUCACUUUAGAAGCGUUCAACUCAACUGCUCCUUGUAAAGACUCAAGAAAAAUAUUAGCGUUAUGAAUUUGUUUAUCAACUUUUUCAGUCGCUUCUGUGUAGACUUUGGGUAAGGCUGCAAUUGCAUCUGUGGCUUUAGAGAUUGAUGCUUCAUGAGCUUUGACAAAAGUGUCAACCAUGCUCUAAAUAGAAGCUUCAGAGUAAGGAUGGUGAGAGGAAGAAGAGGCCAUGAGAUUGUCGAUUUUCUCAUUUAGCUCCUUGAUGUGCUUUUUGGUAAUGGGAGCAUCAUCAUCUUCAUCACUCUGAACCCGGUAGGGACUGUAGUAGAAAAAAUCAAAAUCCAUUUCUUCACCACCAAGGACAGUAUUGGUUUUGCUUGAAGGUGUGAGAGAUAGUGGUUUGGAUGUUUCAGGGACUGAAGACCGAACCCCCGUAUCAGAUACGUUGGUCCGACCUUCAGUUGUUGUGGUGGUUGUAGCAUCAGAAAAAAUAGGAGGAGGAAGUGGAAUUGUAGAAGUAGGUUGUGAUUUGAUAACUGGGAAAGUGGGAGGUAAGGAAAUUGGAAUGGAAACAGGUGGAGGAGAAGGUGCGUUUGAGCGAACUGGUACCUCUAGUGUAGGCGAUCGAGGUGGGGUAUCACCACGAACCGAAACCUCCUCAUCAGAGCUUUCGCUUUCGGAUGUGCUAGGAGUGGGUUGUUUAUGUCCAAUAGGGAGAUACUCGGAGUCUGAGUCGCUCGAUGACUGAAGGAUAAGCUUCCAAGAAGGCUUCUUGGUCUUCUUCUGCUUGGGCUGGGAAGGUGCUGCCUUCUCAGACUUUCGCUUCCUUGGAGUUUGCCCCUUAGCUCCUUUGAUAAACCUUUCGUCUUUCUUCUUUUCUUGUUUCUUUCCCCUGUUUUACGGCUUAUCUGCUUCCUCAAUGGAACGAAUAAUUGCAGGUGUGAGUUCCCUUGGGCCCAAAGAUGGAAGCUUCUUGUACUCUUGUAUGACAUUACUCGCCUUAGACACACAAGCAUACAUGGAUGCUAGAAUCGAUCCAAUAAGCAAGUACUUGGACGGAUCAGUGACUAUAAUAGUUGUAGUGUGGAAUGUUGCGAUGGAGGAGAGAAGCGAUUCCGCCAUGAUUGUGACAUGAAAACAAUCCAUCCCCCGUUUUGUGACAAUAGACUAGAACCUGCCACAUGAAACUUCAGAAUGGCGAGAAGAGGAGGAUAAGCUUUGAACAAGAUGUUGCCAUAGGGCCGAACCAAAUUCAAGAUGUACCCCAUUGUACAACCCAUAAAGCAUGGUCAUAAACGACUUGCUUGCCCCAUCUGAUCCAUCGCUUCGCUCUGAGAAACCAUUGAACAGGAGAGUGAAGAGGCCAUUCCAUAGUGGAGGAAGGCAUGAUUUCGUGAACUUCUCCACGGUUGUUAGGGUUUCUGUAUACCCCAUGUUAUAAAACAUUGAGAAUAGUUGACCAGUUGAGAUGGAAUCAGGGUUUACCAUGGUAGGUUCGUGAGCAAGACCUAGCAGCAUGCAUAAUCGAUUCUUGGAAAUCGAGGUCUUCUUGUUGUGAAUAUCGAAGUGGAUACUCUCAGCGACUUUGUCAUAGUGAGCAGUUGAGUAGAUAUGAGAGAGGCAAGACAUGGGAACAACCUCUACCUGUGAGAGAGCGAUGAUAAGUGGAGAGUAUUUGAAGCAUUCCAUAACUUGCAGCAUGUAGGGUUCAUAGGUGAAUGGUGUAAGGUCAAUUAUGAGGUUUUGGUGAGGCUUGAUGGACAGAAGGGUGGAACGAAUAGAGGUGUCUUGAACAGAAGACGAUUCUGCCAUGGAUGUAGCUUGAGAAGAAGAUGAUGAACAGUGAAAGAAAUUGUCGUUUUCCUUUAGGAGAUUAGAAAGCGGUAAAAGAGUAAAGGUGAUUUAGAGAAACCUUUUGUACUUGGGAUUAGGAGAGAGAAAAAUCCACCCAAAAUCUUGUCUUUUGUGAAACGGUUCCUGAUACAGUGGGGAUUAGACAAUUGGCAACCCAUAUGCUUACACAGGAGAGAGAAAACAUUUCAUUUUACGCGUCGUUCCAUACAAAUCGCCUUUUUCAAAAUCGUCAAACGUUUGGAUAUUUGCUGACUCACCCCUUUACUUUAUUUGAAACGUCACCAACAUAAAUAUCAUGAAUCUAUGUCAACUUGAUCAUUUCGUUUGAGAAUCACCAUGUCACUUUUAGAACCCAAGCUACAUAUUGAAAAAUAGCUUAUACAAAAUAGAACCGGAUUUUUGGAAAAUCAAAGAUUUUCACGCAUAGAGUGUGAAAGAUAAAGAAAUAAAUCAAACUUUUUAUGGGAUAGUGUGAUGUUGAUUAAGACAUAAAGUAGUGGAAACGUUCCGGAGCGGAGGACGUCAUGAAUAUCGCAACCAAUGUACAUAGUAAGCGUAGUGAACACAAAACGUUACAUUACAUAGAAUUAUUACAUUUGUUUGAAAUCAAAGCGUUACAAGUUUUAUACACAUAUAUCAUAAGAACAAAAGAUAAGACGGGUCUUCUAUGUACUCAUCAUGGAAGCCUUUGGAGGUGUUUAAGGGCAAUUUAAGACCAUAAAAAGGUGUUUAUGGUCCAUGAAUGAGGGUUUACGGUCCAAGAAUGUUCUUGGGCCGUAAACUCAUGUCCAUACCUCAAUUUGUGAGAUUUUGGGGUCCUAAGCUCAUGCAUGCAAGUUUCUAAGCCAUAUCUAAGCACUAGGAGUGAUUUGGAUGGGUUUUGGGGCAUCAAAACCCUCUUUAGGAGUGUACACGGUUUUGGAAGGGCUAUUAAACCAUAAACACAUGUUAUUGAGUGUUUUGGGUGAUUCAAACAUAGAUUUGCAUGAUAAGAAAGACUAACAACAAGCUAGGAUAGAUUACUUACCAAAUUAAAGCUUGAAAGGGGUUUUUGGAUCAAACUUGAGUUUUGAGAGAGUGAGAGAGAUAGAGAGUAGUGAGAGAAAGUGUUUUAAGAGAGAGAAAAAGCCUCAAAAUGAUGUCACUAAAUCCCUUAUAUAGGGGUUGAGUUUAUGGCCCAGAGAAAUUCUACUCGAUACCGACGUUAAACAGAGCUUUUGGUCGUACCCGAUUAAUUUGCUGUAACUCAACGUGGUCGUAACUAAUAAUUUUCUAAAUAAUAAUUUGGGAUGUUUUCAUGAGUUAACGUGUUUGGAUACCAAUUAAGUCAUAAUAGAAGUCUCAAAAAUAUUGACUUAAUUUAAAAGCUUAAACGGAAACAAUUCGAAAAAGAUGAAUUUUAUGGACGGAAACGGGUUACGGCGAUGGAGCGAACUUCGGGCUCUCACAUGAUCCCCCCGUUAGAGGGAAUUUCGUCCCGAAAUUCAAACUUUAGAUGCGACUCGCGGAUUUGGAAAGAGAUUACGGAUACUUCUGUUUCAUCGGAAUACGCACUCCCAAGUGAAUUCAGAUCCUCGCAUGACAUUCCAGGGAACCUUUCACUUAUCGGGAUACGGCUUGUUUCACACGUUUAAUCUCUUGAUCUAUGAUUUCGAUUGGUUCUACUAUGAGGUUCAGAAUUUUGUUGAUUUCGGUCUCAUCGAAGGGAUUACGAGGGUUUCGCCGAAUAUGUACUUCUUAAGGAUAGAGACGUGGAAUACCGAAUGGAUGGUGCUACGUUCUGUGGGUAGUCGGAGUUUGUAGGCUACGGAUCGAUCCUAUUGAGGAUUUCAAAAAAUUCUAUGUACCUCGAGAUACGCGUUUCAGAAUCUAACAUGCCUUCUUUCUCACCAUUAGCUAUCUUCAUGGUAAACAUUUCAGUUACUAGUUCAGGACUAUGUUUGUGAAGAUGUUCGAAUGAAUAGCUAACAGAUUAUCUUUUAGUACUAGAAUUGAAAAGGAUUGCAAGCAUAAGGGUUAUCGAAGAGGAAUAUACCUGUGGCAACAGUGGGAUCGGCGGCUGCCUCACCUUGUCCUAUAGCUAGGACUCUUUCAGUGUUGCCAGUUGUUGUUGUCUUGGGGAAGUUUCUCUUAUAAUGCCCGACUUUGCCGCAACCGUUGCAGGCCUGACUGAUACCUGCUUCGGAGACUUGAUUGGUUGGUGUUCUACACCUUCACGCAAGGUGACCCUCUUGGCCAUAAUUUUUGCCAAAUUUCACACGACAGGGACCGGGGAUGUGGUGGUGGUAACUGCAUCGGUUACACCACGGGAGAAUAUCGUCAUAUCCGGUGAUAGGUGCUUGGGUUGAGGAACCGACGAUAGAAACAGCAACAGGGGUAGUGGCAGCGUGGACUGCCACUAUCUGCUGUUUCUUCGAGAACUCUUUUGAAGGCUGACUUUUCUCCUUCGUCUCCCAAUAUUAUCUUUUCUCACCACUUCUCUCUGUCGGCUCAGGAGUGGUGGCUGCUUCCUCUAUGUCCUCAGUAUGGUUGAUCAGGAUUUGCGCUAAGCAUUUGGUGCUGUCGUAUGUAUCCGGCAUCGCAGCUAAAACAUUCCAUUUGGUUGGCUGGGUCAACCCCAAGAUAAACUUCUCAAUCUUCUUACUCUCUAGGGUAACCAUCCCCGGACAAAGAAGCACCAAGUCGUCAAACCUUGAAGUGUAAGCGGCGAUAUCAGAACCCUUCAUCUUCAGGUUCCAGAGUUCAUGCUCCAGCUUCUGAAUUUCACCCCGAGGGCAGUACUCCGCGAACAGAAGUUCCUUCAUGACUUCCCAACCCAUAGCAUUGGCUACAGGUAGGGUUAAGGAUUUGACUCGGUUGUUCCACCAAGUCAGAGCUUUAUCGGUGAACAUGCAGGCGGCGAAUUUCACCUUGUCGGAAUUUGAACAAGCAUAGAUCUCGAAGAUAGAUUCGAUUUUUUCUAACCACCGAGUUAGGGCAAUGACACCUCCUAUGCCAUCGAAGAAUGUGGGGUUCGCGUUCAUAAAGUCCUUAUAGGAACACUCCUUCCGGUGUCCCUGGCUACCUUCUUGAUUUUGGGGCUGGGGACCACCUCCUGGACCACCGGGGUUCANUGCCACUGCGGCAGCAACAGCUGCCUGGAACAAUACGAGAUCAAAUUGGGGGAGGAGGUGGUGGCGGAGGGUUGUUGUUGUUCUUUGAGUUGGGUCUCUCACUUGGAGGCAUCUUGAUCUAAAAAGAUCAAGAAAGAGAGGAUGGUAAGUCCUCUGAAUUCAAUUAAGAGAUAUGGAACUAGGGAUACCUCUUUAUGACAGACAUAUAAUUCUAUUAAGCGAUANNNNNNNNNNNNNNNNNNNNNNNNNNNNNNNNNNNNNNNNNNNNNNNNNNNNNNNNNNNNNNNNNNNNNNNNNNNNNNNNNNNNNNNACGCUGGGAUGAGAAUUUCUAUAACGGAUUUGGCUCGAGAAAUACUCCCAUAGUAUUUCAUGUCUCGCUGCAACGACGGCUCGUUGUUUGGGUAUUGGGUAUGUUUUAGGCAUGUCGUAUACCGCAGUCACUCCCAAGUACAUGUUGGCUGUGUCUCGAAUGAAUAUAGUUGGCCAGGCUAUAUUGAUCGUAGACACGACUACAUAACUGCCUUGGUUUAACCGUAGUGUACAACACGCAUUUACUUAUGUUUUGUUCUACUUGUAGUUACGGAUUUCGACGGUUAGGUAUACUUGUAUACUUAUGGAAAUACUUAUAUUUUAAAGUAUACUUUUAGUUCAGAGCACUUAUUCCCCUUAGUGUUUAUAGUCUUAUACCAUGUAACAUUUGGUAUACUAGUUCACUGUAAACAAGGGCUCUGAUACCAAUCUGUCAUACCUCGAAACCGAAGGCGGAAACGUUCCGGGGCGGAGGACGUCAUGAAUAUUGCAACCAAUGUACAUAGUAAGCGUAGUAAACACAAAGCAUUACAUUACAUAGAAUUAUUACAUUUGUUUGAAAUCAAAGCGUUACAAGUGUUAUACACAUAUAUCAUAAGAACAAAAGAUAAGACGGGUCUUCUAUGUACUCAUGGAAGCUCAUGGAAGCCUUUGGAGGUGUUUAAGGGCAAUUUAACACCUUAAAAAGGUGUUUAUGGUCCAUGAAUGAGGGUUUACGGUCCAAGAAUGUUCUUGGGCCGUAAACUCAUGUCCAUACCUCAAUUGGUGAGAUUUUGGGGUCCUAAGCUCAUGCAUGCAAGUUUCUAAGCCAUAUCUAAGCACUAGGAGUGAUUUGGAAGGGUUUUGGGGCUUCAAAACCCUCUUUAGGAGUGUUCACGGUUUUGGAAGGGUUCUUAAACCAUAAACACAUGUUCUUGAGUGUUUUGGGUGAUUCAAAUAUAGAUUUGCAUGAUAAGAAAGAUUAACAACAAGCUAGGAUAGAUUACUUACCAAAUUGAAGCUUGAAAGGGGGUUUUUGGAUCAAACUCGAGUCUUGAGAGAGAGAGAGAGUAGUGAGAGAAAGUGUUUUAAGAGAGAGAAAAAGCCUCAAAAUGAUGUCACUCAAUCCCUUAUAUAGGGGUUGAGUUUAUGGCCCGGAGAAAUUCUACUCGAUACCGACGUUAAACGGAGCUUUUGGUCGUACCCGAUUAAUUUGUCGUAAGUCAACGUGCUCGUAACUAAUAAUUUUCUAAAUAAUAAUUUGGGAUGUUUUCAUGAGUUUCUAACGUGUUUGGAUACCAAUUAAGUUAUAAUAGAGGUCUCAAAAAUAAUGACUUAAUUUAAAAGCUUAAACGAAAACAAUUCGAAAAAGAUAAAUUUUAUGGACGGAAACGGGUUACGGCGAUGGAGCGAACUUCGGGUUGUCACACCCUUUGAAAUACGAUCAUGUACUUAUUAAGAAGCAAUGAAAGGAAUCUUUUAUAUAUAAGGCUUGUAAAGGUGGCUUUCUCUUCAAUUGAAGUUUCGGUUCUUGAUAUAAGACCGAAAGAGAAUGAAUUACCUGUGAGACCAAUGUGGCCUGUUGAAUAAGUAGGUUACACACACAUUCAGUGACUUGUUGAAAAUCCAAUAAGAAAUAUCAAAAAAAAAAUCUAGAUCCUUGGGGAAAAAGAGUCAUGGGGAUAGACAAUUUCAAAAGGAUCUCUCAAAAUAAAAGGAGAUUUCAUGGUAACUCCACAUAGAGUGGUUUCGUUAAUUCAUUGGUGAAAACCGAAACAUAUUAAUUGUUCACCGUCAAUUCAUUAUGGGUAUAGAAUUUUGGGUUUCACUUAGUACGUAGUAACACGAGACUAAGAUCAUAAACACAGAUGUUGUGUAACCAUAAACCUCAGUGGCAAUUGAUGAGUGUCUUAAGGGUUACGUUAAUGAUAUGAAGUGAGAUGGAGAAAAAUGGUGUAGGUGGUUAAGUAACCAAAUGUACCUCUGCUAUAAAAGUAUGACCAAGUAGAAAACUCUAAGCUUAAUGUGAGAAGAGUAAGUUAGCUCAUGAAUAGAGUGAAUUUAACAUCCUAAUUGGGAAAACAUGAUUUGUAUAUAUCACAUCAUUAAGGCUUCACUCAAAAUCUAUACAGGCUUCGGUCGACAUGAAGCAACAAGCUUCCAGGGACACUUAACUGAUACAUAGAGAAAUUUAUACCUGCUCCAGCUCCAUCAUCGAGAAUAGCUUUUAAACAUGAAAUCAUGAGAAAUAUGAAACAAAAUAUUUUUGUAUUUUAUGUAAAACUUCUAAAGAAAAAGAAAACAAAAAGAAAACUAUUUUUGGAUUUUAUGAAAAUAAAAAAAUGAAAAGAAAAACAUAAAAAUGAGUAUGUAAAAGAGUGUACAAAAGUAUACAACCAAAAUUCCUUUUAAAGAAAAUAAAGUGAACCGAGUUCAGUAGGACCGAACCCAAAAUAGACCGAGUGUUCGGUUCAUUUCAGUUCCCGGGUGAACCGAACCCGAAAUAGACCGAGCGUUCGCUCUAUUUCCCUUUCAACCUUUAAUGAAGCGAAGCCGAUUUCGGUACUGAUGCAGCUUCCAUCAUUCCUAGGCCUUGUAGGAUCUUAUUGAAACUUGGUUUAGGUAAGGCCUUAGUAAAGAUAUCUGCUAAUUGAUCAGUGGUUCUAACUGUUGGGUUUUGAGCAUUCUAACACUCCUAUGUGUACAUGCAACCCUAAAUACCUUAGAUCUAUGUUUUCCCUAUUAUACAUGCAAAUAAGAACUUCCAAGGUAUUAUCCUAAUCUAGCAUACAAAACAACAAAUAUAACAAGAUAGAAUACAUACCUCUUUGAUGUAGAAAGUCUUCAUGAAGCUUGAGUGCCUAGUGCCCCAAGUGUGACACCUCAAAUGGUUCACACAACACCAAAUACAAAUGGAAUAACUUGAGAGAAUUCUACACUUCAUGAAAAUCAGCUAGCCCUUUCUUACUCUCUCUAGUGGCCGAUUUUGUUCAAGAAUAAGAUGCAUAUAUAGUUAGGGUUACACCAUGUAAACCCUAAUUGAGAUGGCCUUUCAUUUCUAUGAUCCAUGGGUACAAAUACACCAUGGAGCAUCAUAUGGGUUUUAUGUUAGUUUUUGAGCAAUCUAACACUUCCUAAGUGUGCAUGCAACCCUAAUAAACCUUGGAUCGAUGUUUGUCUAAAUACAUGAAAAAUAAUAAUUUUCCACGGUUCAUAACCUUUCUAACAUGGUAUGGGGUACUUUUAAACAUAAAAGAGUUAGAAGAGAUUAUAUACCUUUUUGAUGAGUUUGAUUCUUAUGGAGUUUGAGGGCCAAGCACCAAUAAUGUGAAUGCCUCAAAUGGAAUCACAAAUCACCACAAACACUUGGAAAACUCUAGAGAGUGUACACACACUUGCAAUUUUCGGCCACACACAAGCACACACACUAGUGGCUAUUUCAUGCAACAUAAGCAUGCUUAUAUAGUGUACAUGGUUAGGGUGAAACCCUAAUAACCCAUGACCUUUCCUUUUCCAAGGAUCCAUGGGUUAAAAGCUCCAUGGAUCAUCCAUGGACUUCCAUACAAGCCUAGCCCAUUAACAAAUGAGUAUUAGCCCACACUAUAUAAAACCAAUAGCCCACAAUCUAAUUAGUCUUCCUUUUAAUCUCUAAAUUAAUUCAUAAUUAAUUUAAGACNCUAGUGGCCGAUUUUUCCUCAAUAAUAAGAUGCUUAUAUAGUUACACAAUUAGGGUAAACUCUUAAUUGUCAUGGCUUUCCAUUUCCUUGGAUCCAUGGGUACAAAUACACCAUGGAGCAUCCAUGGACCAUCCUAUGGGUUUUAGCCCAACUUGAUUAUCCAUGGAGCAUUAGCCCACUAUACAAGUAUGGAUGAUUUACACAAUCAACCCAUAUAUUUAAUUAGUCUUCUUUUGAUCACUUAAUUAAUCCUAGAUUAAUUCUUGAUCAAUACUAAUUAAAUAAUCUUAUUAUUCUUAUUAUUAAUAUACUAGAACUUAUAAUAUAUUAAUAACCAUAAGUGUCUUAUUUCUCUCAUUAUAGUCUAUCCAAGUGCAUGAUGCCAUGCAACCCAAAUGGACCAUGUCGGGUCGGGUCAAGUCUUACCAAUUAUAGUUAUACACUUAGACAUUAAUCCAACAGUCACCCACUUGGAUUAGUCUAAAACUAUUAUUGCGUAUGACUUCAGGAACCGACUGGCAAUCGUAGCUCUCAAAAGCUUCUGUCGAACUCUGACCUUGUCGAUGAACUCUGACCUUUGUCAAUGACUUGUCCAUUAGAUAAGGGAUCAUAUAUUCCUCCAUUCUAGAUAUCAUAUGGACUGAGACAUGGAUUAUAAUCAUUCUCUCUGUCCAUUUGUUGUUUCCCGAUUUCCGAUUUAUGACGACUGACUAAUUGAACAAAUCAAAUCAGUCCUGGCCCGGCCGAGCACUUCCAUUUGUCAUCAUCAAAUCAUCGAGGGGCCCACAGAUAUCGCUUUUAUCCCGAAGGUAAAAGGAAUGGAUAAACUUCGACUCAUAUGGCUUGUUCUACUACUUGUUGAAUCAUACACAAAGGCACGUUUUAUAGCACCGAGUUACCAAAUGCGUUUUCGUGCAAUCAAUGUACUAUCAACUCAUAGUAACAACUCAUAUCUCUAGGUUUGAAGAAUAUAAGAUAUUAUCGUCUCAUGAUCACUCGUGAUAAAAUCCAUGAAGUGAUUCCAAUGAGCGCGGGUUGAAUCCAAUACUCAGAACUUAUGAGCACUCAUGAGUGUUGUAGCCCUUUGUCCAACACCUUAGACCUCUACAAGCCAACCCAUGACAGUCUUAAUUCAUAUCUACUUCCAACAUAUGACCGACUGUGGAUGGUUUGAAUAACUUAGUCAUUCCGGAAGAAUAACCUAGUUUAUUCGGGAAGUCAAAACAUGCAAAGUGAAACACAAUAAUAAUUGAAUCCAAUAUGGUAUCAAAACUUUGAACAUAAAUAAAACACCUUUUAUUUAUCACCAUAUGAUUACACAUUAUUCAUUGUAUACUGUUUCAGCUAUCAACUUUAUUCUUGAAUUUAAAACAAUAGUUGUCCCAUGCUCCAAGCAUGUACACUAUGUUUUCUUAAACACUAGUCAUGCCACACACCAAGUAUGCAUACUAUGUUUGUCUAUGAUCUUUACUUUGUGAACUAGAUCAAUUGAACAUAACUUCAAUGAUUCUCUUUUCACACUCCCAAAUCCUUACUGCAAAUGCAAGAAUUCCAAAUUCAUGCCAUUUACUGAAAUCUGUUAGAUUCUAAACUUAUAUGCAUUGAUCCUCUUGUAAUGAUUAUGCACAAAGUCAGAAAGACUUGACAACAAUCAUUACAGAGUAUUCCAAAGGAGAUCAGCUCCUUGGAAACAUCCUUCUUGCAUUAAGUUUCCUAAUCUUAAACAGAUUGAAAAUUCUAACUUUGAAACAUUUCCAGAUUCCAUUUUGACUAUCACUUCUGAACAAGAGUUGCCUCCUUACAGAUUAUGUCAAUAUGGUCCUUCCAGAAUUAUCACUAUACUUCCAACUGUCCUUGAGCAACCAAUCUUUGGUAAACCUUAGAUUGUCCUCGACAAUUGUUUAAUCCUUUUAGUCAUAUCCAGUUCUAAACCUUUUCCCUUCUUAAUGCCCCAGGCAUUUGGAAAAUUUUAGAACGGAUGAAUAUAGCACAUGUAAUCGAUCCUAUAUCCGAAGCAUAUGGGACACGAUUCAUGAUGUCUCACAUAAAGACUAAACCAGUCUUUUGCUAUAACAUUUCCAUUUCAAUUUGCCAAGUUCUCAUAAUUCAGAUUAUGAAAAGGGAUGCCGUAAUCAUAAUCGAAUUUUAGAACGCAAAUAAUGGACCCAUAUACAGAAUUUCCUUAUGUUGAGCCAUUCCAACAUGAAAUUCAUAUAUAUCCUUGACUAAAUGAUUAAAACCUCACGAUCUAAGCUUAUAGAUUUGAGAUGAAGUAUAAUUUCCUCUCCCUUAAUUAUAGCAAAACAACUUUUUCCCAAUUGAAACUUUUGUUUUCUAUAAUUAACAUUGCUAACUUGCAAUACUUAUCAUAAUUAUCAUGCUCCCACUAACAUGAUGAUUAUUAGCAUAACACUUAUGCUCCCACUAGCUUUGACAUGUACUCAGAAAUCAGCUGGACUUCUAGAAAUCAAUACUUCAUUGACUUUCUUACCAAAGUUCAGAUUUCUGAUGCUAGAUUGUUUUGAUAAAACUUUAUCAAAAUCAUACACCUUCCCUUAGAUAGCACACUUGUGUGUCUAAACAAUUAUGAAGAGGUAUGCCGUAAUCAUAAUGGUUAGACCUUUUUGCCACUUCUCACAAGUCCAGGUUAGUGUGCCGGUAAACC
rnacentral:lncRNA from 1 species